rnacentral:rRNA from 1 species
GAUGAACGCCGGCGGCGUGCCUAAUACAUGCAAGUCGAGCGAACAGACGAGGAGCUUGCUCCUCUGACGUUAGCGGCGGACGGGUGAGUAACACGUGGAUAACCUACCUAUAAGACUGGGAUAACUUCGGGAAACCGGAGCUAAUACCGGAUAAUAUAUUGAACCGCAUGGUUCAAUAGUGAAAGACGGUUUUGCUGUCACUUAUAGAUGGAUCCGCGCCGCAUUAGCUAGUUGGUAAGGUAACGGCUUACCAAGGCAACGAUGCGUAGCCGACCUGGGAGGGUGAUCGGCCACACUGGAACUGAGACACGGUCCAGACUCCUACGGGAGGCAGCAGUAGGGAAUCUUCCGCAAUGGGCGAAAGCCUGACGGAGCAACGCCGCGUGAGUGAUGAAGGUCUUCGGAUCGUAAAACUCUGUUAUUAGGGAAGAACAAAUGUGUAAGUAACUAUGCACGUCUUGACGGUACCUAAUCAGAAAGCCACGGCUAACUACGUG